UGGACACAUAAACAUGAUUGAAAUGAAAAAGUUCUUUAUUGAUAAUAAAAAGUUACAAGUACAAGUUUAAGCCAUGAAAAUACAUAAUGUGUCAGCCAACAAUUGGCUUCUAGGACACAAAUCCAACAAUUUAGGUCUAAUUGAAUUGGGUUUGGAUGAAACCUAAGUAAAGACUUAAUUGACUAAACCCUAAAGUCCAAUGUGAUUGGACUUCCUCCCUUGCACCUCACCUUGUCUUCAUGCCAUAGUUUCUUCAGUAAAUCUGAUUUAGCAUGAGAAAAUAUCACUCCAUAACCUUUGGUUGUCACCUACC
rnacentral:lncRNA from 1 species